AGCUGUUUACUUCCUGGUUGCAACAUGAGAAGACGAUGUCUACGUCAAAGCUCCUAAACAAAAGUUUCACUUUGAGUCAAGUUCUGGAUAUGUUGGAUCUAGGUGACUGCCCAGACAAGGCAUGCAACAUUGCAGUUAUCCCUCAGCGAUUGUGAUAGCGAUGGGUCAGAUAUUGACUAUGAGGGGGAGACAGGCCAUUUGCCAGCCAGGCUGUUGAAUGUAUAUGCUGAACCUAUGCAAACUGAUCAUGACAGGGACAAGGUUAUCAGUGAUGAUGACCUACCACUCACCACCCCACACUCUCCUCCCUGAGACUGGGUUGGGUCAUGGACCCAGUGUCGUUCUUGGUGUUGCAGAGCAAUCUCGGGUGCCUCAAGGUUGCAAGUUCCUUCAUGACAACCUCUUCACUUCGCUUGCACUCCUUGAUGAAAUGACAAAAAAGAGGAUAUGGGAGCUCUGGAACGAUGAGGCAAAAUCGUCUUUUUGAUGUCCCAUUCAAGCCACAGAAGGACUUCAUGAAGUUACAAUAAAGUAACAAUGUUACAAUGUAUGUUACAAUAAAAUAACAAUGUUGAAAUACA